UACGGGGGGGCAAGCGUUGUUCGGAAUUACUGGGCGUAAAGGGCUCGUAGGCGGCCAACUAAGUCAGACGUGAAAUCCCCAGGCUCAACCUGGGAACUGCGUCUGAUACUGGAUGGCUUGAAUCCGGGAGAGGGAUGCAGAAUUCCAGGUGUAGCGGUGAAAUGCGUAGAUAUCUGGAGGAACACCGGUGGCGAAGGCGGCAUCCUGGACCGGCAUUGACGCUGAGGCGCGAAAGCCAGGGGAGCAAAGCGGG
rnacentral:rRNA from 1 species